ACAUUGGUGAUUCAGUGGUAGAAUUCUUGCCUUCCAUGCGGGAGACCUGGGUUCGAUUCCCAGCCAAUGCA
rnacentral:tRNA from 1 species